rnacentral:rRNA from 1 species
UGAUGAAUAUUGGUCAAUGGACGCAAGUCUGAACCAGCCAAGUAGCGCGCAGGAUGACGGCCCUAUGGGUUGUAAACUGCUUUUAUAUGGGGAUAAAGUGGGGAACGUGUUCCCUCUUGCACGUACCACAUGCAUAAGGACCGGCUAAUUCCGUGCCAGCAGCCGCGGUAAUACGUUAGGUUCGGGCGUUAUCCGGAUUUAUUGGGUUUAAAGGGAGCGUAGGCCGUUUGGUAAGCGUGUUGUGAAAUGUAGGAGCUCAACUUCUAGAUUGCAGCGCGAACUGUCAGACGUGAGUGCGCACAACGUAGGCGGAAUUCAUGGUGUAGCGGUGAAAUGCUUAGAUAUCAUGAAGAACUCCGAUUGCGAAGGCAGCUGACGGGAGAGCAAAUGACGCAGAAGCUCGAAGGUGCGGGUAUCGAACAGG